rnacentral:rRNA from 1 species
AUUGAACGCUGGCGGCAUGCUUUACACAUGCAAGUCGAACGGCAGCGCGGGCUUCGGCUUGGCGGCGAGUGGCGAACGGGUGAGUAAUGCAUCGGAACGUGCCCAGUAGUGGGGGAUAGCCCGGCGAAAGCCGGAUUAAUACCGCAUACGAUCUGAGGGUGAAAGCGGGGGACCGAAAGGCCUCGCGCCAUUGGAGUGGCCGAUGUCGGAUUAGCUAGUUGGUGGGGUAAAGGCUUACCAAGGCGACGAUCCGUAGCUGGUCUGAGAGGACGACCAGCCACACGGGGACUGAGACACGGCCCAGACUCCUACGGGGGGCAGCGGUGGGGAAUUUUGGACAAUGGGGGCAACCCUGAUCCAGCCAUGCCGCGUGGGGGAAGAAGGCCUUCGGGUUGUAAACCGCUUUUGUUCGGGAAGAAAUCCUCUGGGCUAAUACCCCGAGGGGAUGACGGUACCGGAAGAAUAAGCACCGGCUAACUACGUG